AGUGCUUGUCUGAAUGUUUUCCCAUCAGUAAGACUCCUUAGAACUUUAGAGUGAGCAAAAAUGACACCCUGGAUAAAUCUCAUCUUGUUAUUAGUAGUCCUCAGAGGUGUCCAGUCAGAGGCCCAGUUGGUGGAGUCUGGCGGGGAUGUGAGAAGACCUGGAGACUCCCUCCGCCUCUCCUGCCAAGCCUCUGGAUUCACCUUCAGCGACUAUGGCAUGAACUGGGGGAGACAAUAUCCAGGGAAAGGACUGGAAUGGGUGGCAUCCAUAUGGCCUGAUUCCAGCACUGUUUCCUACUCAGACAAAGUCAAGGGACGCUUCACCAUCUCCAGGGAUGAUUCCCGCAGCCAGCUCUAUCUGCAAAUGAACAACCUCGAGCCAGAGGACAUGGGACAUUAUUACUGUGUGAGACACAGUGGGAGGAAGUGA